AGAGUUUGAUCCUGGCUCAGAACGAACGCUGGCGGCGUGCUUAACACAUGCAAGUCGAGUGCGCGUUUCUGUAGCAAUACAGGAAUGGCGCACGGCGCACGGGUGCGUAACACGUGGGUAAUCUGCCCUCUGAUGGGGAAUAACCCGCCGAAAGGCGGGCUAAUUCCGCAUAACAUUCCUUGGACUCCGGUUCGGGGAUUCAAAGGCGUAAGUCGUCGGAGGUGGAGCCCGCGCACGAUUAGCUAGUUGGUAGGGUAACGGCCUACCAAGGCUUUGAUCGUUAGCUGGUCUGAGAGGAUGGCCAGCCACACUGGAACUGAGACACGGUCCAGACUCCUACGGGAGGCAGCAGUGGGGAAUCUUGCACAAUGGGCGAAAGCCUGAUGCAGCGACGCCGCGUGGGGGAUGAAGCUUCUCGGAGUGUAAACCCCUUUCGACCCGGACGAAUGCCCCGCAAGGGGAGUGACGGUACGGGUAUAAGAAGCCCCGGCUAACUACGUGCCAGCAGCCGCGGUAAGACGUAGGGGGCCAGCGUUGUUCGGAAUUACUGGGUGUAAAGGGUUCGUAGGCGGUGUGGCAAGUUGGGAGUGAAAUCUCUGGGCUCAACUCAGAGGCUGCUUCCAAAACUGCUGUGCUGGAGUGUGGGAGAGGCGCGUGGAAUUGCAGGUGUAGCGGUGAAAUGCGUAGAUAUCUGCAGGAACACCCGUGGCGAAGGCGGCGCGCUGGACCACUACUGACGCUGAGGAACGAAAGCUAGGGGAGCAAACAGGAUUAGAUACCCUGGUAGUCCUAGCCCUAAACGAUCAGGACUUGGGGUGCCACCCGUUCGGGUGUCGUCCCGGAGCUAACGCGUUAAGUCCUGCACCUGGGGAGUACGGUCGCAAGACUGAAACUCAAAGGAAUUGACGGGGCCCGCACAGCGGUGGACAUGGUGGUCAAUCGACGCUACGCGAGGACUACUGGCUCGAAUGCUCUGACAGCUGUGAACACGCUUCCCGCAGAAGGAUAUAGGCCUGCAUGCUGCGUCAGCUCUGCUGAGGGUGGUAAGUCCGCACGAGCAACCUGAGUUGCACCGAGGGAACUCAUGACGUUCGGCUACGUAGAAUGUAUGACUCAGUUCA
rnacentral:rRNA from 1 species